rnacentral:lncRNA from 1 species
ACCGGACCAGACCAAGAGUUGCUUAGUGCUGAGCAACUCUUUACAAUGAUUUACAAGCAUUAAAACGGGAUCUGCAAAAAAAGUGUGGCAUUCCUAGCCCAGGAUAACUACUUUUUAGGCUAGAUUCUAAAGCUCAAUAUAACUAUUUCAAAGGGUCUCCUUAUCUUUAAAGAGCAGUGAUUUCAAGGAUAUUGAACUAUUAUUAUUUUAAUUGUGUAAUUAAAUGAAAUCAGUAUCUCAGUAUAGUGUUGCAUGCAAUAGCACUGAUAAAACUUAAUCAUAAAAUUUCA